rnacentral:rRNA from 1 species
UAGUAAUGCGAAUUGCAGAAUUCCAGUGAGUCAUCGAAUCUUUGAACGCACAUUGCGCCCUUUGGUAUUCCGAAGGGCAUGCCUGUUCGAGCGUCAUUAUCACCCCUCAAGCCCCGUGCUUGGUGUUGGACGGCCUGGUCGCGUCACCGCGACUCCUCCUAAAGACAAUGACGGCGGCCUGUGGUUCCCCCGGUACACUGAGCUUUUAAUUGAGCACGUAUUGGAUAAGGGCACCCGGGACCCGGUCUUCUCCCUUUACCGGGAAAUUUUCAAUGGUUGACCUCGGAUCAGGUAGGAAUACGCGCUGAACUUAAGCAUAUCAAUAAGCGCAGGAAAAGAAACCAACAGGGAUUACCUCAGUAACGGCGAGUGAAGCGGUAAUAGCUCAAAUUUGAAAUCUGGCCUCUUGGGGUCCGAGUUGUAAUUUGUAGAGGAUGUUUUGGGUACCGCCCCGGUUUAAAUUUCUUGGAACAGAAUGUCAAAGAGGGUGAGAAUCCCGUCUUGGACCGGUGGUAGGGCCUGUGUAAAACUCCUUCGACGAGUCGAGUUGUUUGGGAAUGCAGCUCAAAAUGGGUGGUAAAUUUCAUCUAAAGCUAAAUAUUGGCCAGAGACCGAUAGCGCACAAGUAGAGUGAUCGAAAGAUGAAAAGCACUUUGAAAAGAGAGUUAAACAGUAUGUGAAAUUGUUGAAAGGGAAGCGCUUGCAAUCAGACUUGAGCGCGGCGGUUCCCCUGACCUUUUGGUUAGGCUAUUCCGUCGUGUCCAGGCCAACAUCGGUUCUGAGGGUCGGUCAAAGGCCUUGGGAAUGUAUCUACCCACGGGUAGACUUAUAGACCAGGGUGUCAUGCGGCCUCUCGGGACCGAGGAACGCGCUUCGGCUCGGAUGUUGGCGUAAU